CACCCACUUCAUUCUAAAAUGUGAGUUUGGAUGACUUCAUUAACCUCUUUGAGCAUCAGUUUUCCUGAUCUGUAAGAGGGGCACGUAAUGCUAUCUCUUGACAGAUUCCUUGCGAAGCUGAGAGGUGCUGUAUGUAUAACACCUGGUACGUUAGAAGUCAUUCAACACGUGGUAGCCUUUCUUAUUAAACACAGACGAGCUCAUCACCGUUCUCGUUAGUCCCCCAUUGGGGUGGAUGCCCCGUGGCGGAAUCGGGCUGCACAGGGUUCUGUGACAAGGUGAGCUCAGGAAUGUGUUGCUGACGUCAGUGCAGGCUCUUGCUUGCCUCACACGCAGGUUUUCCCCUUGCGUGGCCUCGACGGAAUCCUGAACAGCUAGCAGUCGGGUGCUGCCUGAUACAUGAAUUGCUGAGCUUAAUGUUCAAAUAAACUUGUUAAAAUCCUAA
rnacentral:lncRNA from 1 species